rnacentral:misc_RNA from 1 species
AACCUUAUGGACCUGCGGGCGUAUACCUGCGGAGGGAUCAUUACCGAGUUUUCAACUCCCUAACCCUUCUGUGAACCUACCUAUCGUUGCUUCGGCGGACUCGCCCCAGCCCGGACGCGGACUGGACCAGCGGCCCGCCGGGGACCUCAAACUCUUGUAUUCCAGCAUCUUCUGAAUACGCCGCAAGGCAAAACAAAUGAAUCAAAACUUUUAACAACGGAUCUCAGAUCGGAAGAGCAC